GAUGAAGAACGCAGCGAAAUGCGAUACUUGGUGUGAAUUGCAGAAUCCCGUGAACCAUCGAGUCUUUGAACGCAAGUUGCGCCUCAAGCCAUUAGGUUGAGGGCACGUCUGCCUGGGCGUCACAUAUCGUUGCCUGAUGCCAGUUUCCUCGAGAUGGGUGACUGUGCAGGGCGAAUGAUGGCUUCCCGUGAGCAUUGUUGCCUCAUGGUUGGUUGAAAAUUGAGUCCUUGGUAGGGAGCGCCGUGAUAGAUGGUGGUUGAGUGACGAACGAGACCCAAUCAUGUGAGACCCCUACCGAAUUUGGCCUUCAUGACCCACAUGCGUCUUUGGAACGCUCAUGACGAGACCUCAGGUCAGGCGGGGCUACCCGCUGAGUUUAAGCAUAUCAAUAAGCGGAGGA
rnacentral:misc_RNA from 1 species